UGAGCCUGGAGCAGGAACAGCUGAGAGGUGGAGAGGAUGAAGAUAGAGAUGAAUAAUGCAGAGACCCUGCCCUCUAGUGCUUGGAAACACAGGAACCAAGUCAUGCAUAUUGCCUCUCAUUGUUCAGAAGCAGCCAACAGUGAGAGCAGGGGAGCCCAGUUUAUGCAGUCCUUAAAGGCCUUCUCCAGAGGUGUGGAGCAGGGUGGAGAAGGACAGUGGCUCUAGAAUGUCCAGCACAGUGA